GCUCUCCUAGAAUUUGAUAUCACUGGAGGACAAGCACCAUGAUCAAAAGGAGAAUCUCUCUGAGGGCCUAAGGUUGAACCAGGAAUAGGUAGCAGGGGGAUUCACAAGAAAGAAAGUAGACAUCCCACCCAAAAUUCAUGAAUUGGUCUUUCUACAGAGCCAGUGGUAAGGUCUGAUGAGCAGUCUCAGCCUCAUCACAUUAAAAAUUUAUUUCCAUGGGCUUGGGAAAUCCUGUGAAUCCACAGGUUGUCAGUUGAAUCAGCUCAUAAAAUAAUUCUUGAGGCAUCUUGAUCUAGAUUAAAUUCACUUUGGUGUGAGCUCAAGGGAGCCUCUAAUUGUUCCACUAGAGGAUUCAGUUUAUAGCCUCUCCUCCUAAACUAUGCUAGGUGAAUGGAAUUAAGAAUUCUUAAAGUGAAGCUUGUUAAUUAAAGCUUAUUUAUUACCAUGCUUUGUAAUCAUACAGAUUACUAUUAUCAUUAUAUCAUAUAUUACAACUAUAUGGUAAUAUCAAUAAUUAUUAUUCAUUAGGUACUAGUAGAUUAUUAUUCAAUAGUCAAUAAUAUCGCAUUAUAAUCAUAUGUAAUUAUAAUUUAUAACAUUAUAUUAUUCAUGCAUCCUAAUCAGAAGAUUUGUUAAUGGUUUUGAUUUUCUAUUUCAAGAUAUAAUAAGGUUUAAAGCUUGAGCUUUCCUCACAGAUGUGAUUCCUGGAUUGAUUGUUUCUGUAUUUUGUAGCCUGAUGUCUCAUCCGAGAAGUUAUUUACCAAGAGUAUACAGGAAUUCUAUCUGGACACCAUACCACCACAUGGGAGAAGUCCUUUCAUAAGCUUAUCAGAUAGCAGCUUUAUUGUGAUAUUACCUCCAUACCACACAAUUCACU